rnacentral:rRNA from 1 species
GAUGAGUAAAGUGGCGAACGGGUGAGUAACACGUGAGAAUCUACCCUGUAGUGAAGGAUACCCUAGAGAAAUUUAGGUUAAUACUGCAUAAGUCCUUCGGGAGAAAGACGGCCUCUUGCUGUCGCUAUGGGAUGAGCUUGCGUACUAUUAGUUAGUUGGUGGGGUAAAGGCCUACCAAGACGAAGAUGGUUAGCCGGCCUGAGAGGGUGAUCGGCCACAUUGGGACUGAGAUACGGCCCAGACUCCUACGGGAGGCAGCAGUGGGGAAUAUUGCACAAUGGGGGAAACCCUGAUGCAGCAACGCCGCGUGGAGGAUGAAGGUUUUCGGAUUGUAAACUCCUGUCAAGAGGGAAGAAAGGCCUGCGAAUAAUACGCGCAGGAGAUGACGGUACCUCUUAAGAAAGCUCCGGCUAACUUCGUGCCAGCAGCCGCGGUAAUACGAAGGGGGCGAGCGUUAUUCGGAAUCACUGGGCGUAAAGGGUGCGUAGGUGGCAAUUUAAGUCAGUCGUUAAAUAUCACGGCUUAACCGUGAGGGUGCGAUUGAUACUGGAUAGC